AUGAUCUGGGAGGUCUUUGCCAACCUGAAUGAUUCUAUGAUUCUACGUAACACAGCCAAGAUUCUGUGUAAUACAGCCAAGGAGGUACCUGCUGUGAGGACACCUCUCCAUGGAGGGACCGAGGGAGCCCCCCGGUUACCUCAGACCGCGCUGAGGCGAGGCCCCGGCGCCUCCCAGGGGGGAGCCUCCCCUCAGCGCUCCGGCUUCGGGCCGCCCGCCUCAGCAACAGGUCUGUGCCGGGGGCGGAGAAGGGGGCUGUGUGUGUGUGUGGGGGGGACCCCGCUUCUCCCCGCGGCGUGCCAGGCCACCAAGCGGCGUGCCAGGCGAACAAAGGGGCCGAGCGCGGAGCGGGCUCCCGCCUUCAGCCAUUUGCAGCGCCCCGCCGCUCCCCACCCCCUUCCUCCCCCUUCCCCGCCGGCGCAGGCUCCGGCUCGCCACGGAGCCGCCGCCGCCACCACCACCGCCAGCACCGCCACCACUACGGCGGGCCCGAGGUGGGGCCGGGCCGGCUGCGGGCUGUGGGCUGCGGGGCGGGGCGGGAGGCGGGCGGGCAGCCCUGCGGGAGCCCUGCCGGGAGCGCCGCGCCGCUCGCCGCCCGUCUCCGCGCUGCCGCAAGCUCUGAUGACGACGUGGGGUCGCCUCAUACUUUGCUCAGCCCUCAGUUACAUCACUGCUGCUAAAAACAUCCCCAUUGCCUGGUGGAGUCGGUGCUGACAGCUCGCAGGUGGAGUGCAUAUAAGGAGCAGUGAGAUGAAGAAACCUCUGUGAUGUUCAUGCCAAGGAGACUUUGGCUAGUGGGGAAUCUCCUUCCAGAACAGAUUGCAACCACUCUCUUCCCCUGAAAUAGCUGCACACGGUGAACAAGCGAUGAUAGUACUCCUAACUCUCUGACUUCAGAGGACAUUUCUUCCUCAUUGCCCAGCACAGUGUGGGACCGGUUGUCACAAAAGGAUGCCGCGCAUAAAAACUGCUUAGCAUUUUCAUAUAAUAACAGGAAAACCAGAACAGCUUCUCAGGCUAUCGAGGUGCAAUAUCCACACCGGGAAGAGGUUUAGGUUUUCACCGACAGCAUCUGACAGGGGAGAAGGAAGCCGGUGCAGGCUGGGCCGUGGAGGCUCAGUGCUCUGUGCUGUUCCCCGCAGGUGAUGGGCGUAGCGGUGCGGCCGAGAGCCGUCCUGUGCGGCACUGCGCAGGGCCGGAGCAGCUAGCCUGG
rnacentral:lncRNA from 1 species